AGUUGCUAGCUGAUAUCGGUGGCGUAACAUCUUUGAGGGGCAUCUAGAAAGAUGAGAAAACAUUUUCCUAGCAGUUCUUCCUGUCAGCCCCAGCCUUUUGCCCAGAACUCAAUUCCAUCUGGUCCUCUGAAAUAUGUUCACCUUCUGCCUUCUCAGCCUGCCUACGUUCAGGCUUGUCACCAGGCCAACCCUCUUUCUGCUUUCUGUCCUAUCUCUUUUCCCCCUCUGAAGAAUACUUCAUUCUAUCCUACCUUAAUGAUUUCCAUGCCCUGCUCUUCCUGCCUUACUAAACUUUCCUUGAAGCACCAUAUUCCCUUCGAACCUCCCGCCCAUUUUCCCUCUACCCCAGCUACCCUUCCUUCUAAUAAAAGACCCCCAUCAACCAGUUCCGUAGUCUUUCACCCUGAUCAGAAAACUAGCCACUCUCAGGUUGAUAGGUGCUUAAACAAGAAUUCUGACGAAUGGACUGACACUCAAGAAAAUGGACUGAUUACAGGGCCCGUGAUACCAGGACAGAAACAUCAAGAGCCACUGACUGAAAUAACUGAAGAAGAAGAGAUGCAAGCCUUUGGCAUGUAAGGCUUCUUCCUUGCUAAGAUCUGAGGAGAACACCAGCAACAAAGGUGAGCUAACAUCAGGACUGCUGGAUUUCUGAGUAACUACGAUGUCACUGUUUACAAAGCUAAAAUACUGAUUCAUGGAGAUCAUUACAAAUAGUCUACCUUUGAGUAGCCUUUUGUUGUUCUGGUAUUGAAUAAACAAAGUAAACAGUGUUCACAGAAA